rfam:Gossypium hirsutum cultivar TM-1 unplaced genomic scaffold scaffold189.1, whole genome shotgun sequence
CGGUCAGAGGCAUGAUGUACUAUUAUCGAGCUCUACUGCUGCUAGCUUUUCUCGAUUCUUCAAGGGAGACGGAUAUUACCA